rnacentral:rRNA from 1 species
AACGAACGCUGGCGGCAUGCCUAACACAUGCAAGUCGAACGAGACCUUCGGGUCUAGUGGCGCACGGGUGCGUAACGCGUGGGAACCUGCCCUUAGGUUCGGAAUAACUCCCCGAAAGGGGUGCUAAUACCGGAUAAUGUCUUCGGACCAAAGAUUUAUCGCCUUUGGAUGGGCCCGCGUUGGGUUAGCUAGUUGGUAGGGUAAAAGCCUACCAAGGCGACGAUCCAUAGCGGGUCUGAGAGGAUAAUCAGCCACACUGGGACUGAGACACGGCCCAGACUCCUACGGGAGGCAGCAGUGGGGAAUAUUGGACAAUGGGCGAAAGCCUGAUCCAGCAAUGCCGCGUGAGUGAUGAAGGCCUUAGGGUUGUAAAGCUCUUUUACCCGGGAUGAUAAUGACAGUACCGGGAGAAUAAGCUCCGGCUAACUCCGUG